rnacentral:rRNA from 1 species
GUAAUGCCGGUGAAGAUGCCGGAUACCUGCGACAGGACGGAAAGACCCCAUGGAGCUUUACUGUAGCUUGACAUUGGGUCUUGGUACUACAUGUACAGGAUAGGUGGGAGGCUUUGAAACCAGGACGACAGUUUUGGCGGAGCCAUCCUUGGGAUACCACCCUUGUAGUACUGGGACUCUAACCAUAGGCCAUGAAUCUGGUCUUGGGACACUGUCAGGUGGGCAGUUUGACUGGGGCGGUCGCCUCCCAAAAGG